UACAGAGGUCUCAAGCGUUGUUCGGAUUCAUUGGGCGUAAAGGGUGCGUAGGCGGCGCGGUAAGUCGGGUGUGAAAUCUCGGAGCUUAACUCCGAAACUGCAUUCGAUACUGCCGUGCUUGAGGACUGGAGAGGAGACUGGAAUUUACGGUGUAGCGGUGAAAUGCGUAGAUAUCAAGAGGAACACCUGCGGCGAAGGCGGGUUGCUGGGCCGACACUGACGCUGAAGCGCGAAAGCUAGGGGAGCGAACGGG
rnacentral:rRNA from 1 species